GACGAACGCUGGCGGCGUGCCUAACACAUGCAAGUUGAGCGACGAACCAGGGCUUGCCCUGGGGCAAAGCAGCGAACGGGUGAGUAACACGUGGGUAACCUACCCCGAUAACCGGGACAACCCGAGGAAACUCGGGCUAAUACCGGAUGUGCUCACUGGACUUCGGUUCAGUGCGUAAAGGAAGCUUCGGCCUCCGUAUCGGGAGGGGCCCGCGGCCCAUUAGUUUGUUGGUGAGGUAACGGCUCACCAAGACCGCGAUGGGUAGCUGGUCUGAGAGGACGAUCAGCCACACUGGGACUGAGACACGGCCCAGACUCCUACGGGAGGCAGCAGUGGGGAAUCUUGCGCAAUGCGCGAAAGCGUGACGCAGCAGCGCCGCGUGGGGGAAGAAGGCCUUCGGGUUGUAAACCCCUUUCAGGAGGGACGAAGGUUCGGCGGUGAAUAGCCGUCCGGACUGACGGUACCUCCACAAGAAGCCCCGGCUAACUACGU
rnacentral:rRNA from 1 species